ACACAUAUCAUGAAGUGAGUCAGCUGUGAUAACAGGGACAGUCCACGUGCUAAAGCAUUGGCCUGUCGAGACAACGAAGUGUGCUAGAUAGAUCAUACGACAGAUUAAACGUAAGCUGCUCUGCACUGUAUAUGGCUCGACUGUUAAGUAAAUGGUCCUGAUGACAAUUUGAAGAUCGAUGUAUUCCAUGGUUGUCACG
rnacentral:lncRNA from 1 species